GAGUGAUAGCCAUGGCAUGGAAGAAAGUGAGAUUUGCCUCAAUCGAUCGUGAAUCAAAACCUUUAUGAUUAUCACUGCAAGCUUUACCUUCUUCUUAGCCAUGAUUAUCACUG
rnacentral:pre_miRNA from 1 species